CAGCAGGUAGGGAAUCUUCCACAAUGGGCGCAAGCCUGAUGGAGCAACACCGCGUGAGUGAAGAAGGGUUUCGGCUCGUAAAGCUCUGUUGUUAAAGAAGAACACGUAUGAGAGUAACUGUUCAUACGUUGACGGUAUUUAACCAGAAAGUCACGGCUAACUACGUGCCAGCAGCCGCGGUAAUACGUAGGUGGCAAGCGUUAUCCGGAUUUAUUGGGCGUAAAGAGAGUGCAGGCGGUUUUCUAAGUCUGAUGUGAAAGCCUUCGGCUUAACCGGAGAAGUGCAUCGGAAACUGGAUAACUUGAGUGCAGAAGAGGGUAGUGGAACUCCAUGUGUAGCGGUGGAAUGCGUAGAUAUAUGGAAGAACACCAGUGGCGAAGGCGGCUACCUGGUCUGCAACUGACGCUGAGACUCGAAAGCAUGGGUAGCGAACAGGAUUAGAUACCCUGGUAG
rnacentral:rRNA from 1 species